rnacentral:rRNA from 1 species
GACGAACGCUGGCGGCGUGCUUAACACAUGCAAGUCGAGCGAUGAAGUUUCUUCGGAAUGGAUUAGCGGCGAACGGGUGAGGAACACGUGAAGAAUCUGCCCUCCACUUUGGGAUAACACAGGGAAACCUGUGCUAAUACCGAAUAUUGAACCAUAAGUGGCAUCACUGAGUUUUGAAAGAAUUUCGGUGGAGGAUGACUUCGCGGCCUAUCAGCUAGUUGGUGAGGUAAUGGCUCACCAAGGCAACGACGGGUAGCCGGCCGGAGAGGGCGACCGGCCACACUGGGACUGAGACACGGCCCAGACUCCUACGGGAGGCAGCAGUGGGGAAUAUUGGGCAAUGGAGGAAACUCUGACCCAGCGACGCCGCGUGCGGGAUGAAGGCCUUCGGGUUAUAAACCGCUUUCAGUAGGGAAGAAGCGAAAGUGACGGUACCUACAAAAGAAGCACCGGCUAACUAUGUGCCAGCCGCCGCCGUAA